rnacentral:rRNA from 1 species
CCUACGGGUGGCAGCAGUGAGGAAUAUUGGUCAAUGGGCGUAAGCCUGAACCAGCCAAGUCGCGUGAGGGAUGAAGGUUCUAUGGAUCGUAAACCUCUUUUAUAAGGGAAUAAAGUGCGGGACGUGUCCCGCUUUGCAUGUACCUUAUGAAUAAGGAUCGGCUAACUCCGUGCCAGCAGCCGCGGUAAUACGGAGGAUCCGAGCGUUAUCCGGAUUUAUUGGGUUUAAAGGGUGCGUAGGCGGCCUUUUAAGUCAGCGGUGAAAGUCUGUGGCUCAACCAUAGAAUUGCCGUUGAAACUGGGGGGCUUGAGUAUGUUUGAGGCAGGCGGAAUGCGUGGUGUAGCGGUGAAAUGCAUAGAUAUCACACAGAACCCCGAUUGCGAAGGCAGUCUGCCAAGCCAUGACUGACGCUGAUGCACGAAAGCGUGGGGAUCGAACAGGAUUAGAUACCCCUGUAGUC